UUAAAAACAAUUUCGAACUAAUCUUUAUAAGUUAUUUAAGGUUAAAUUAGUUCUCAGUGUUUCUGAUAAUUUCUGGUAAUCAUAUGUAAGCUUUACAAAUUGAUCUAUCUUGACUGAUACAGAAAUUAAAUUUAUAUAAGCUUUCCAAAUGGAACAAUAAAUCAUUUUCACACUUAUAAUUUUAUAAAUUUAUAUAAACUUUCCAAGUGGAAAGGAACUUUUAUAUAUUUUGUAACAGAACAAUAUCUAUUAUAAUUCUCAUUUAGUUACGUUCCUCAGAUUUAUAGACAAUACUUGCAAUAAAAUUUAAUAAUUUUUAGUUAAAUAAUAAAUUAAAAAAUUUCAUAGUGCGGAAAAUCAUUAUUAAAUAGGACAAAGGAUAAUUAUCAAGAUAACUUACAAUCACAACAGAGCAGGUUAGGAAAAAAUGCUAUCAGAGUAUCGAAUAGUUUAGAUAAUUGAUAAAUAUUAAUUUCAAGAACGAAUAAAAUGUGUACUCAUCAGAAACAUAUGAAUAUAAUGAAUAAUAAUAUACAAAGUAUAAAUAAUAAAGAAUUCUAUUAUAAAAAUACAAAUAAUAAACUCAAGCACAUAAUAUUUCCAAAUUUACAGCAAAGGCUCAAAAGACAUUAAACGCACAAUAAUGUGAAUGUUAUGCUUAUGAGAUUGAAUAUAUUAUUCAAUAUUUGAUCAAAUUUGUGUGUAAAGUUUUAGCUCAAAUCAGUUUCAAUUUGAUAAACAGUUUUCAAACAGUUUUUACAAGUUCUAAUAAAAUACUUUAAUAAAUCAGUUCUUUAUUUCAUAACCUUUCAGAUAAAGGAAUUUACAGAUCUGACAAAGCUUAUAUUGAUGUGUUUUUGUUUAUAAAUUUCAAUGUAAUUAUACAAUUCAAAUAAAAUAUUUACUAAAUAUGUAUGUAUUAUUAUUUUUUCAGUUAACAUGAUUUACAAUUAUUUUGCUGUUGGUGGACGUUUGACUGGAAGUAAGACUUUUAAAUUAAACUAUUAUCGUAAUGAAAUAAAUUCAAUAAUUCGGAAAUAAUUCAUUCACUUGGUUAGGGUAAUAGUAAAAAUAUGACAAAAUAGAUUGUUUUGCAUCAAAAUAAAAAAACUUUAAUCAAAAUUAAAUUAGCAAAAUAACAAAUAAUGUUAUAAGCUAUGAAGCAGAUAAUAAUUAAAAGAUGUAUUGUAUAUAUCGAAAAAUUCCUUUUAAGCAAUAAAAAGUUUUCUAAAAAUGUUUUUUUUUAUUUAAAAGCGUUCAAUAAAUUGUAUUCUAUCCAAAUACAUUUUUUUUAAAAUUGCAUAGAUAAAUAUGCAAAGAGCCUUUUUUCAGCAUCUGAUUUUAAUAGUUUCAAACUUCUAAAAUGACAAAAUGAUGACAGAGUAAGAUCAAUUUUAUUGGCUUCUAUUCGUAUGGUAAUUGGUUGUCCAUUAUUUUAAUUUAGAUAUUUUGAUUGAAUUUCUCUGAAUUACAAACCUUAAUUUGAAUAUUUGUAGAAUAUAUAAGACAAUAAUUUGGAACAAUAGAAUAUCUUAAAUAAAUGCAAAUAUGCAUUUAUUUCAAUAUUUUGAUAAAAAUUUUCAGUGAGAAAAGCAAGAAUUUGUAAAUAUCUUUAACUUCCACUUAUAAAUCAGGCAAUAUUUAUCUCCCUUAUUUUAAUCCAUAUGUCAAAUGAAUUCUAAAAGAUUUCAACUAUAGAAUUGAAAAUUUUUAUUUAAAAAUUCAAAAAUAUUUGUUAUUUGCACAAGCAAGCAUUGAUGAUCAAACUUAAUUGAUUGUUAAAUGAAAAAGACAACAAAAUAUAAAUAAACUUCUUAAGAAUUGUAAUCCUCAAACAUAAUUAUUUUCCCUUCAAAUAAGAAAUAUUUCAUAAUAUUCAACUUCUUUUAUAUCAAUUGACUAAAUAUAUUUAUUCUUGACAAAAAAGAAAAUGUCACUUUUUAUCAAAAAUUCUUUAUCGGGAAAUUAUCCAGUAGUAUAUGCGAUUUUUUUACUAGCAGUUAAAAAUCAUGUAUAACGACGGGUAGAUAAACAGAAACAAUAUUCAGUCCCUAAAAAAGGAGUGGUAAUAAGGCACUAACUCUCAACAAUAGAAAUUUUGAAGAGGAGUGACUGUAAAUAUCUUAAGCAUUAUUUUAUAUAUGCGCAUAAUUCUUAUGAUUAAGAUAUUUUGAUACCUGAUCUUUAUUAUUAUGCAAAAAUUUUGUUAUAUUUCAAUUUUUCACAUAGUUACAUCUAAAAAUUUGUAAAAAUAUAAUUUUUUAUUGACAAAAUUAUUUUAUAUAUUUAUGUAGAAAAAUUAUGUUCCUUUAAUGAAUAAAAAAAAAUUGAGAAAUAUAUUAUUGUUUCGUCCAAGUUUAGUUAAUUAAUCUAACAUCGAAAGUGGCGUUAUUUUUCAAAAUAGUAUAACUCUCGAAAUUUUCAUCAGAAAUUUACAAACAUUUUUGGAGGUUUAUUUCAUACUGAAGAAUCAAUUGAGCAAAACCAUUUCCAGAUGUUUUGAGAAAAUUUCGAUAUAUUAAUUAAUUAACUAUGUUGAUAAACUCAGUCAAAUAGUUUAUCUGUCUAAAUAAAUAUAUCUCUUUAAGCUAUUUCUAUUGACACCAGUUUUGUGAAGUUGUGAUAAGAAAUGCUGGACUUAUCGAAACGUCUCUCUUUUUUUGUUGUUGAUAACUGUACAUUAGAGCAAUAAAUCAAGAAUCUAUAGAUUGACAAUAAAGAGUAUUUGAAAACAAAAUUCAAAUUUAUUUCUUACUUUUCUGAUAAGAAUAAUUAUACCAAAAAAAACACAUAUCUUCAUAAGAAACAGUCGUUUCGAGAACAAAACAUUUAUCAAGAAACGAUCGUAGGUGUCAAAACAAAGGCGCGUAAUGUAACUGAAAGUCCAAAUAAUAAUCACUUUUACUUUCGUUUAUACAAAUUAUUGUCAUCAGCAAUGCAAGACCUGCUGGAGUAGCUUACCCACGAAAAUAUUUUUAAUAUCUUAAUAUUUUUUUUUCAUUUUUUAAAUACUAAUUCAUUUUACUAGUAUCCGCUUUUUAUAUAAUGAAUCAGCAUAAAUAUGACAUUUUAAAUUAUUUCUUUCACUGAUCCACUUUUCAAAUCAUAUAUUUAAUAUUAAAAGUUUUAAAUAUUUAAAAGACAAAUAUUGAAUUUUUAUUAUUUAAAAAUCAAUUAUCCUUUUUUCACGGAUAUAAAGUAGUCCGAAAAAAUAAUAUUUAAGCUAUAAAUAUGAGCUAAUCUGAAGACUUAUCUAAAAAAUUGCAUGAAUUUAUAAAUCUAAACAGGAAGGGAUUGAAGCAUAUAAUACUUUACUGUAUGUCUUUAAAAAAAGCCAAUAAUAGAUCCUCAAUGUCCUAUAACUAAAAAGGCCACAAAAUAUUCGAUAGCAAUAUUGAAAAAUUAAAAAGCAUGAUAAUGUAUUCUUCUUUUACAUCAUUUUGUACUCAAAUGAAUAAAUAUAGUAUAAAUGACAAGAAAAUAUCAUUUAAAAAAUAAUACAGCAUUUUAUCUUGUUCGUAUUUUGUACUAAAUAAUUUCAAUGAAGCUAUAUUCAAAAUUGUACAAUCACAAUGAUGAAAAAAAUAGAUUUUCAAAAAAAUUCUGAUAUAAUAAAAUAUUUCAAAAGUCUUAUCAAACUAUAUGUUAUAAAAUUUAUUAUUCAAUUUAUAAUCUUGCAAAAAGAAGUUUUUUCAUUUAAAAUUAUAUUAUAUAUUUUUUAUUUUUAACUAAAAAUAAUUUAUAUUCAUUAAAAAAUCUUUUUUUUUUAUUAUUGACAUCAAAACUCUUAUA